AGAUUGAACGCUGGCGGCAUGCUUUACACAUGCAAGUCGAACGGUAACAGGCCGCAAGGUGCUGACGAGUGGCGAACGGGUGAGUAAUGUAUCGGAACGUGCCCAGUCGUGGGGGAUAACGCAGCGAAAGCUGCGCUAAUACCGCAUACGAUCUAUGGAUGAAAGCGGGGGACCGUAAGGCCUCGCGCGAUUGGAGCGGCCGAUAUCAGAUUAGGUAGUUGGUGGGGUAAAGGCUCACCAAGCCAACGAUCUGUAGCUGGUCUGAGAGGACGACCAGCCACACUGGGACUGAGACACGGCCCAGACUCCGUACGGGACGGCAGCAGGUGGGUAAUUUUGGACAAGUGGGCGCGAAGCCUGAACUCCAAG
rnacentral:rRNA from 1 species